rnacentral:rRNA from 1 species
CGGGGGGGGUAAGCGUUGUUCGGAAUUACUGGGCGUAAAGGGCUCGUAGGCGGCCAACUAAGUCAGACGUGAAAUCCCUCAGCUUAACUGGGGAACUGCGUCUGAUACUGGAUGGCUUGGAUCCGGGGGAGGGAUGCGGAAUUCCAGGUGUAGCGGUGAAAUGCGUAGAUAUCUGGAGGAACACCGGUGGCGAAGGCGGCAUCCUGGACCGGUAUUGACGCUGAGGAGCGAAAGCCAGGGGAGCAAACGGGAUUAGAUACCCCGGUAGUCCUGGCCCUAAACGAUGAAUGCUUGGUGUAGCGGGUAUCGAUCCAUGCUGUGCCGAAGCUAACGCAUUAAGCAUUCCGCCUGGGGAGUACGGUCGCAAGGCUG